UCCUGGAAGUAACCCCAAUAAAAUUCACUGGUUCACCAAAAAAAAGAAAAAAGAAAAGAAAAACACCUGAAAAAACAUUUAAUUCUCAUGGUGGCGGGGGCAGGGGAUGUCAAGGGCAAGGACUGCAGAAAUGGCUGGAAUUCUGCAAAUGCUAGCUAGCUAGCUCUUGUCACCGUUGUGCCUGUGGGUGACAUUCCCAACCUCGCAGAGCCUCCAUUUCUCCAGCUGCACUCACCACGAGAAGUGUAGCGAGGCUAAGAGUUAUCCACAGAGGAUGCUCAGGACUCAGUACCUAGAGAGGAGUCAGGCUGUGUGAACCCUUGGUCCCCUAGUAGCACAGCUUCAGGUGUGGUCCAAGAAACAUUAGUUUGCUUUGCAAAACAAACCCUUGGAUAUAAGCUCUGUUUCUCAGUAUGGCAGCUUCAAAACACAUGUUUUUAGGUGAGAACACAUGUGGAUGGGUCAGCUAGACAAAAGGCUACAUUCAUUCCAGAAAAAAAAUGGAUUUCAAGAAAAAAAAUGGUGCCAGGAAAUGCCAUUCCAAACCUAUUCAAAAUACUUUUAAGAUGUAUUUAUUUCACAUGUAUGGGUGUGUUGUCUGCAUGUUUGUCCAUGCACCAUGAGCAUGCCUGGUGCCUCAGGAGGCCAGAAGAGGCCACUGGAUGCCCUGGAACUGGAGUUAAAGGUGGCUGUGAGCUGCCAUGUGAGUGCUGGAAACUGAACCCAAGUCCUCUGCAAGAGCAGUGCAUUGCUGUUUUGCCUGCAUGGCUGUCUAUGGGAGAGUGUCAGAUCUUGGAGUUACAGACAGGCGUGAGCUGCCAUGUGGGUGCAGAGAAUUGAACCCAGAUCCUCUGGAAGAGCGGCCAGUGCUCUAACCACUGAGCCAUCCCGUGGCUUCCGAUUUUAAAUCUCACCACCCUAAAUGACUGUUAUCUUUGGAAUGGAAGGCAAAAGAAAGACAGAGUCUUGCCCUUAACUAGUUCCAGGCUCUCAGCUUUGCUGGAAGUGAGACUCUCUUUAAUACCUUCAGAAUCUCUCUUGCCUCGAAGCAACAGACAAGUAUGUGCUGCUCCCUUCUAAACAGGGAUCGGCAAGAACAAACAGAAGACCGGAGACUCGCUUUGAAGCUCGGCAUCCCUGGAGCCAAGCUUCUCCCAGGCUCCCCAGCUCCGGGGGCAGGCACUGAAGAGAACACCCGGCUCUUAACAGCUAACUUAUUAAUUCCAGGCUGUGUGGGUUUAGACUGAAGGUCACAAAUCUGGCUUUAACCUUAGUACUGAUAGGAAUCCUGUGGGAAUCCUGAGUGGCCAAAGAAAUGCUGUAAUAUCGCUAAUAAUUAAUAAUGGCAAUACUGUCCCAGGUUUCUUGUUUUCCUGGUUUUUAAAUCCCUGAAGGCUUCAAAUCACUUUGCAGACCAAUUGAUUAACCCACUGCUGACCUGUAAUGGAUCUGAGCACAGCGCAUCGCCCUGUUGUCCAGAAUACAGCCACACUCGGCUUGUUUGAGCACGAAGACAGGCACAUACUGAAACUCAGUGUAAAUUUCAGGCAGCAGCAUGAUUUCUGAUGCCCAGUGCUUGAAAACUCAAGUUUAGGGAAGAAAAUUCCCAGCUCUCAAGCCAAGCAAGAACCUUUGAUUUUGUUAUAAGAUCCUGGAUUUUCCAUCCCACCCCAGCGAGUAACUAGCCACACCUAGAAGCUGGCCUCCUUCCGGCUGCACGACAGCUUCCCGAGUGAAUGACACAUGUUUCUGGAAAUGUGUUGGUCAGUCAGGACCAUCUGAAUCACGUUUUCAGAAUACACUCAGCUGCUCGAUCACUCAAGCCUUCCACCAGCCAGCUGCUUCAAGAAUGAAGAACCUUUCUGUAAUCCGAAUGCAAUGCUUUCUGGGGCUGGAGACGGGUACCAUGGCUAAGAGCACACACUCCCCUUGUAGAGGACUGAGUUCCAUACUAAACACCCACAUAAGGUAGCUCACAACUGUCUGCAGCUCCAGCUCCAGGUGAUCUGAUGCCCCUUUGACCUCCAACUGUACACACACACACACACACACACACACACACACUGGCACUCGCAUGUAAAUAAGUUAUUUUGUUAAUUUUGGUAUUUUAAAUGCAGUGCUUUCUCCUGUCAAGUUCAGCAUUCCUCCGUCCACCAGAGCAGCUGUUUCUCAGCCCAGUGGAACAACCACUACCACAGCUGCUGGCCCCAGUACUUCUGACCCAGCAUCUGGUUCUGUCCCUGGCCCAGAGGCUGCCCCUGCCCCUGGCUUCCCCUUCCCUCCUCCUUGGAUGGGUAUGACCUAUCCCACCUUUUGCCGUCCCCCCAAUGCCUGUGCCCCCUACGGGCGUUGCCGGCCUGACCUCAGAGGAGCUUGCAGGCACUGGAGGGCCAUGAGCAGCAGCCCCUGGAGGCCCUGCUGCAGAGUCUGUGCAACAUACACAUGCUACUGGAUGCUGCCGCCAUGCUGCAAAUCAACCAGUACCUCGCUGUGCUGGCCUCCUUGGGGCCCCCCAGGCGAGCUACUUCAGUCACCCCACUGAAGAGGCUGCCUCUGCAGUGGUAUCUGCUGCCCCCUCCACCAGCGUCCCCAGUUCUGAUCCUCCAUCCCCACCCCCAGGAGCCUCCUCAACAGCCCCUGAAGCUGAGAAGCCUCUGGAUCCUGAGUCGGUGGGCGGUAGACUCUGCAGAGGAGCCUCCUGAGGAUGGAGAGAACCUGACGGUGCAGAACUCCGCCGGCGUCACCUGCAAAAGCUGGAGUCCCCUGUUGCGCACUGACACUGCCCAGACCUGUCCCUCCCUGCUCUUGAGUGGCCCUCUCUGGAACACAUCCUGCCACCAAGUGCCAGCUCCCUCUGUCUGCACAGGAGAGUAGCCCCCACCUGAGAAGGAAGUGGCAGGAUCUCUGAGGCCAAGUAAAAGUGGCUGGGUUCAUAGUUGAUCCGUCCCGAUGGCCCUGGCAGCCUGGUGGAGAUGUUGGUCAGCUCUAACCUUCCACUUGUGCUGUGUUCUGCUGGGGCCUUGGAAGUAGAGGCUCAACCUCUAGGAAGCUCCUCUCUGCUUUCAGGAAGAAGGUGAAGCCCCUCCAAGCCCUGCUUGUGAGCGUGGGACCACGCUGCAGUGCAAACAGUAUUACUUCUGUUCCCGUGUGUACACCCGAGGGGCUGAAGACAGACCAGGACCUGCCCCACCCUCUUGCCUAGACGGACACCCGUCUCCUUCCUCUACCCCAAUCUCAGAAGCCCCUUUGUGAUGGUGGCUGUGUACCCCCUAAGCUUUGUGGCAUUUCCAUGUCUUAUUGGCAACCACACAACUCAGGGAAAGGAGUGCCUGGUGGUGGGGGAGAGGCGGGCAGCACUGAGGGACCCUGACCUGCCCCUCCCCAGGUUCUCCCCCCCCCCCCCCCCCCGUCCCCGUCUCACCCAGCAGCCACUGCCUGGUGGGCCUGGGUGACGGUGCCUACUACUCCUUAACCUCUGCUCUCCAGAAUCCAAGGCAGGCCACCUCCAACCUAUGGGACUCGAGUUCAGUAUUGGAACUAUUUCUGUACCUAGUGGAUUUGGGCUUAAUUUUGCCUUUUUUAUUUGAAUGCUUGAACCCAGGAAGGAGGGGCAGGUGUGAGGCUAGGUACCUGGAUUUCCCAUUUAGAACAGGCUCUGGGGCAUGCAGAGACCAUGCAGUCCAAGCCUAGCUGCUUCUGUCUUUCUUCCUUUUGGUUGUGUGUUAUAGGAGUUUCUGGAGACAGUUUCAGAUGAUUAUUUAAUUUGUAAAUAUUGUACAAAUUUUAAUAGCUUAAAUUGCAUAUACAGCCAAAUAAAAACUUGCAUAAAAAAGU